rnacentral:rRNA from 1 species
UACGUAGGGGGCAAGCAUUGUCCGGAUUUAUUGGGCGUAAAGAGCGUGUAGGCGGCUAGGUAGGUCCGUUGUGAAAACUCGAGGCUCAACCUCGAGACGUCGAUGGAAACCAUCUAGCUAGAGUCCGGAAGAGGAGAGUGGAAUUCCUGGUGUAGCGGUGAAAUGCGCAGAUAUCAGGAAGAACACCCGUGGCGAAGGCGGCUCUCUGGGACGGUACUGACGCUGAGACGCGAAAGCGUGGGGAGCGAACAGG